rnacentral:lncRNA from 1 species
AAGAAGAGUUCAUCAAUCUUGAAGAUCAUACCGUUGACCAAACUGCUUAGGUGUGAAUUAGAAAGAUUGAACAAAGAAACAGGUUGUCACCUUUACCUCGUGCCUGCUUGCCAUGUGUUCGAGUCAACUUUCAAGAAUCAAGCCUCAACGGCCCUUGAAGAAGUCUCCAGCCAAAUUCAAGAUCAAGCCUCGACGGCCCUUGAGGAAAUCACAAGUCCGAUUCAAGAUUA